ensembl:misc_RNA Metazoa_SRP Metazoan signal recognition particle RNA
GCCGGGCGUGGUGGCGCACGCCUGUAGUCCCAGCUACUCGGGAGGCUGAGGCAGGAGAAUCACUUGAACCCAGGAGGCAGAGGUUGUAGUGAGCCAAGAUGGUGCAACUGCACUCCAGCCUGGGCGACAGAGUGAGACUCUGUCUCAA